AACGCACAUUGCGCCCGCCAGUAUUCUAGCGGGCAUGCCUGUUCGAGCGUCAUUUCAACCAUCAAGCCCCGGGCUUGUGUUGGGGACCUGCGGCUGCCGCAGGCCCUGAAAACCAGUGGCGGGCUCGCUAGUCACUCCGAGCGUAGUAGUUUACACCUCGCUCAGGGCGUGCUGCGGGUUCCGGCCGUUAAAGGCCUCUAUACCCAAGGUUGACCUCGGAUCAGGUAGGAAGACCCGCUGAACUUAA
rnacentral:misc_RNA from 1 species